AUAAGGGACUCUAAAAAAAAUAUUUUUAGAUUCCCAUCGUCUUCCGACGACCCCGCAGACCGGCGCAUCGAUCGCCGGCGAUGAAGGAAAUGGAAUCUCGAGACUGGCGAUGAGAUCAAGGCUGAUGGGGCGAUCGCGCCGACCAGGACGGAUCACAAGGUCCCUUCGAGUUGGACACCUGAGGAAGGCUUCGGAUCUCGGCGGAGCUCAAGCGCCUGGGGCAAGAAGAUCGGUUUUUUGAAAUAAAACUCCUUUAGCCCCUCUCUUUCAUUUUGAAAUGAUUUUGAUAGAUCUCGCGUUUUUUACUUCCGUUUUCUUAUUUAAAUUCUCAUUUGGAUCUUAACUCGCUAUCGAUCGAUGAUGUACAUUUUCAAAAUUGAUUAGGAACUUAGGGAUGCUAAUUCUUUCGUUUAUCCGCUAAAGUUCAUGCGCAUUGACGCAGAAAAACAAAAGUGAUUUUUUCUGCUGACACGAACGAAUUUGGUCUGUUUGAAUGAGAUCGAAGAUUAUGAACAUCCUUUUUGGUACCUGCAAUGCAGUCACUGAUAACAAAUAUCACAUUUCUGAUUUUGUUUGUUGUUCUGAUCAUAAUCUGACAUUCCACAAGUUUAUCAAAAACAAAAUGGUGUUUUAAUGCUGGUCUGCUUUGCAGUAACUGGUGACAUAUAUCAUAGUUCUAAAAUUGUCUGUUGUUCUAAUUACAAGUUAACAUGUCACAAGGUUGUCAUGGCGCAGGAGUCCUUUUUACUACUAGUUCUUGCUAAUGCCGUAACAUGCCAUUUUGUUUCUAUACAUCCAGUUGGAACUUUAAGGAUGUUUCUUUUUGUUUAGCAUGUACCAAAAACAAGGAAACUUGGUCCUGAUUCUUUUGUAGACUACACAAAGGUGAAAGAUGAAGGGUCCAUAGAAAGGACGCAUAUAUUGAUUUGGAUUCACAGUUAAAUGGUGGCAAGUAGAAAAUGACAAUAGGAUGAGACCAAUCUUUAGCUGUGGGUCUUGACAUAUAAAUACCACAUGUACUGGGGUUCUUUUUUUUGAUGUAAAACAAUAGAUCUCUAAUGGAAAAAAGGCAGAUUGUACAUGGUUU